GACGAACGCUGGCGGCGUGCCUAAUACAUGCAAGUAGAACGCUGAAGGAGGAGCUUGCUUCUCUGGAUGAGUUGCGAACGGGUGAGUAACGCGUAGGUAACCUGCCUGGUAGCGGGGGAGAACUAUUGGAAACGAUAGCUAAUACCGCAUAAUAUUGACUAUUGCAUGAUAGUCAGUUGAAAGGUGCAACUGCACCACUACCAGAUGGACCUGCGUUGUUUUAGCUAGUUGGUGGGGUAACGGCUAACCAAGGCGGCGAUCCUGAACCGCCCUGAGAGGGGGUCCGCCACCCUGGGACUUGGACACCGCCCAGGACCCUUAGGGGGGCCAGCGUAGGGGAUCUUCGGCCAUGGAGGGAAGGCCGACCGAGCAACGCCGCGGUGGGGGAGGAGGGUUUCCGAUCGGUAAGCUCUUUUGUUAGGGAAGGAAGAGUGUGAGAGUGAAAAGCUCACACUGUGACGGUAUCUUACCAGAAAGAGACGGCUAACUACGUG
rnacentral:rRNA from 1 species